CCAAGGGACCUCGCUCACGGCGACUUUUCGUAGCGAUGCUGCCGCG
rnacentral:miRNA from 1 species